GAUGAACGCUAGCUACAGGCUUAACACAUGCAAGUCGAGGGGAAACGAUAGAGAAAGCUUGCUUUUUCUAGGCGUCGACCGGCGCACGGGUGAGUAACGCGUAUCCAACCUGCCCACCACUUGGGGAUAACCUUGCGAAAGUAAGACUAAUACCCAAUGACGUCCAUAGAAGACAUCUGAAAUGGAUUAAAGAUUUAUCGGUGAUGGAUGGGGAUGCGUCUGAUUAGCUUGUUGGCGGGGUAACGGCCCACCAAGGCGACGAUCAGUAGGGGUUCGGGGAGGAAGGUCCCCCAAAUUGGAACUGAGACACGGUCCACACUCCUACGGGAGGCAGCAGUGAGGAAUAUUAGUCAAUGGGCGAGAUCCUGAACCAGCCAAGUAGCGUGCAGGAUGACGGCCCUAUGGGUUGUAAACUGCUUUUAUAAGGGAAUAAAGUGGGAGUCGUGACUCCUUUUGCAUGUACCUUAUGAAUAAGGACCGGCUAAUUCCGUGCCAGCCGCCGCAGUAAAAC
rnacentral:rRNA from 1 species